rnacentral:tRNA from 1 species
GCGGGAUGGAGCAGCUCGGUAGCUCGUCGGGCUCAUAACCCGAAGGUCGUAGGUUCAAAUCCUGCUC